rnacentral:rRNA from 1 species
GUCUAGUGGCGCACGGGUGCGUAACGCGUGGGAAUCUGCCCUUGGGUUCGGAAUAACAGUUAGAAAUGACUGCUAAUACCGGAUAAUGUCGCAAGACCAAAGAUUUAUUGCCCAAGGAUGAGCCCGCGUAAGAUUAGCUAGUUGGUGGGGUAAAGGCCUACCAAGGCGACGAUCUUUAGCUGGUCUGAGAGGAUGAUCAGCCACACUGGGACUGAGACACGGCCCAGACUCCUACGGGAGGCAGCAGUGGGGAAUAUUGGACAAUGGGCGAAAGCCUGAUCCAGCAAUGCCGCGUGAGUGAUGAAGGCCUUAGGGUUGUAAAGCUCUUUUACCCGGGAAGAUAAUGACUGUACCGGGAGAAUAAGCCCCGGCUAACUCCGUGCCAGCAGCCGCGGUAAUACGGAGGGGGCUAGCGUUAUUCGGAAUUACUGGGCGUAAAGCGCACGUAGGCGGCUAUUCAAGUCAGAGGUGAAAGCCCGGAGCUCAACUCCGGAACUGCCUUUGAAA